rnacentral:rRNA from 1 species
AGUCGUCUACGGGGCGCAGCAGUGGGGAAUAUUGCACAAUGGGGGAAACCCUGAUGCAGCGACGCCGCGUGAGUGAAGAAGUAUUUCGGUAUGUAAAGCUCUAUCAGCAGGGAAGAAGAAGGACGGUACCUGAGUAAGAAGCCCCGGCUAACUACGUGCCAGCAGCCGCGGUAAUACGUAGGGGGCAAGCGUUAUCCGGAUUUACUGGGUGUAAAGGGAGCGUAGACGGCGAAGAAAGUCUGAAGUGAAAGCCAGCG